GGGCCGUUAGCUCAGGGGUUAGAGCGGCCGGCUCAUAACCGGAGGAUCGGAGGUUCGAAGCCUCCACGGCCCACCA
rnacentral:tRNA from 1 species